AGCCCUGAGGUGUUAACAUAUUAGAUUGCAAAUCUAAAGAAGCAGGUAAGUAGCCUGCCGGGGCUU
rnacentral:tRNA from 1 species